GAGUUUGAUCAUUGCUCAGAACGAACGCUAUCGGUAUGCUUAACACAUGCAAGUCGAACGGACUAAUUGGGGCUUGCUCCAAUUAGUUAGUGGCAGACGGGUGAGUAACACGUGGGAAUCUGCCCAUCAGUACGGAAUAACUUUUAGAAAUAAAAGCUAAUACCGUAUAUUCUCUACGGAGGAAAGAUUUAUCGCUGAUGGAUGA
rnacentral:rRNA from 1 species